UUCCAAAAUUUUAGGCACAUGAAUAUACAUAAAUAUACCAAUAAAAUGAAAAACAAAUAAAAAUAUUUAGAAAUUUUUGGCUUGUGGCCGUGGGUAAAAUGAUUUUGACAUGCUCCGGUAAUAAAAUUCAUAAGAAAUUUACGAUUUCGAUUUAGAAUCGCAAAAUCGUAAAAAUUGGGCACUUUCGUCUGGUCGGAAUGAAAAAGUUGACAGGAAUUUUGCCGUCUCCAAGAAAAUUUUCGAUUUGGAAAGGGGCCGAUAAGUACGCCGCCAAAAGCUAUCGCGAAGGUUGCCGUACUGUUGGUGAAACGAGAAAGCCAGAGGAUGUUCGGAAUUAAAACAUACAAAGGUGCUUUGUUACAUCUGCCGGCGUUUUUCAACUCGUUCAAGCUGCGACGCAAAAGAAACCACGAAAAGGUGAGUGCGAUUAGGCGCAUGGUUUUUUUUUUUUAUAUAAAUGGCAUAAGUUCAUGUGUUAUUUCAGUGCUCUCUACCAACAGAUGAGAACAGGGUAGCAUCAAAAAGAUGCUUGCAGACGUGCAAAAUGAAAAGCGAGACCCGUUUAAACUAAAACGAACAAAGAUAGAAAUAAAAACCAGUUUUAAUGGGACUAAUGAUAA
rnacentral:sRNA from 1 species